rnacentral:rRNA from 1 species
AUGAAUGAUGAUGAUGUACAUUGGUGGUUUACGGGUUUCUACGGUCAUCUGGUUUGGAGUGAACGUAAGUUAUCGUGGGAUAAUAUUCAGAAUUUACAUAAUCUGGGGCAUCACCCCUGGGUGAUCUUAGGGGAUUUUAAUGAAAUUUUACUCUUGUCAGAAAAAGAAGGUGGAAAUGUGAGACCAAAUGCUAUGAUGACAGACUUUCGUAAUUGUUUAGGAGAGUGUGGCCUCAAGGAUAUGGGAUGUAUUGGUGACCCUUUCACUUGGAGGAGAGGCGAUACUAGAGAGAGACUCGACCGUGCGGUGUGUAAUAUGGAAUGGGCGUACAAAUUCCCUCGAGCCGCAAUUAUCAGCGAGGAACAUGUUCAUUCGGAUCAUCGUCACUCAUAUUGGAUACAGAAUAUUUUGACGGAAAUGUUUUCAACGCCCCAAGGGGAUGAGUAA